CCUCCCAGGAGCAGAAGGCCUGUGCAGCAAUUUCACUGAACAGACACUUUUGACAAAACAGAUAAGCAAAGUACUCCUCGGUGGCUAUCAACAGGCAAGCAAAGACAGCUCAACAAACCCUUGAGGAACAAAGGAAUCUGCCUUAUACCAACUCAGGCCGUUUGGUACCAUCUAGCUCAGUACUGGUGACAUGGACUAGCAUUGGCUCUCCAGGACGCCAGAUGUGGGACUGAGACUGAGAGAAGCCUAAGACCACCUGUGAGAUCAUGGUUCAGGGCUGCCCACUCCAGGUCGGAUUUAAAGAUAAAGAACCCUAAGAAGGGAGAGCAGAAGAGGCAUUGAAGUUACCCAUCAACCAUGGCACCUGGAUAGCAGAAUGAACAAGGACCAGGUCAUCUGGUCACCGUCUUCCCCAUUAUAACAAAAUGUAUUGUAUGUCUGUUAAAAUUAUAAUUAUAAUUUCUAAAUUUGUCUAUAUAUGUAUAAUUAGCAUAUGUAAUUUUUAUAAAAUAAGCACUUUUGUCCUUUUUUGGUGAUGCAUAAAUGGAACCCUAUCUCUGUAUAUUUAAUAGCUUCAGGGACGUAAUUUGGAUCAGGGCUGCAGUUUUGGAGCAAAUCCCUCCCCCCAGCUGUGCUUUUACAAAAAAGCAAGUACAUGGGGAGUUUCAUUAAUUAACUCCCAUCCCACCCAACAUCUACUUGACCUUCAGAUGUUUUUUCCAGGUAGGAAUUUCCACAUUUGCUUUGAGGCAAAAUUUGAUGAGCAUACCACUGGUGAU